rnacentral:rRNA from 1 species
GAUGAACGCUGGCGGCGUGCCUAACACAUGCAAGUCGAACGGAGUCGUUUUGGAAAUCUCUUCGGAGAUGGAAUUCUCGACUUAGUGGCGGACGGGUGAGUAACGCGUGAGCAAUCUGCCUUUAAGAGGGGGAUAACAGUCGGAAACGGCUGCUAAUACCGCAUAAAGCAUUAAAUUCGCAUGUUUUUGAUGCCAAAGGAGCAAUCCGCUUUUAGAUGAGCUCGCGUCUGAUUAGCUAGUUGGCGGGGUAACGGCCCACCAAGGCGACGAUCAGUAGCCGGACUGAGAGGUUGAACGGCCACAGUGGGACUGAGACACGGCCCAGACUCCUACGGGAGGAAGCAGUGGGGAAUAUUGCGCAAUGGGGGAAACCCUGACGCAGCAACGCCGCGUGAUUGAAGAAGGCCUUCGGGUUGUAAAGAUCUUUAAUCAGGGACGAAACAAAUGACGGUACCUGAAGAAUAAGCUCCGGCUAACUACGUG